GGCCAAGCUACUAAGGGCCUACGGAGGAUGCCUUGGCACCAGGAGGCGAUGAAGGACGCGACAAACAGCGAUAUUCUUCGGGGAGACGUUAAUAGUCUUUGAUCCGGAGGUUUCCGAAUGGGGCAACCCGGCCAUCUAGGCCGCGAAAGCGCCAACCGAGGGAAGUGAACCAUCUCAGUACCUCGAGGAAAAGAAAGCGAAUGCGAUUCCCUGAGUAGUGGCGAGCGAAAGGGGAACAGCCUAAACCGUCCGCUAUAUGCGGGCGGGGUUGUGGGGCUUCGUCGGGCGUAUGCCGAGAAGUUAACAACCGACCGUCUAGCAGAACCCAUCUGGAAAGUUGGGGCCAAAGAGGGUGAUAGUCCCGUAAGCGAAAGACGAGUCGGCUUCUUGGACGAAGUACCCGAGUACGGCGGGACAAGUAAGACUGCCGGAAUCUGGGCGAACCACCGCCCAAGGCUAAAUACUACCUGGUGACCGAUAGUGAACCAGUACCGUGAGGGAAAGGUGAAAAGUUCCCCGGGAGGGGAGUGAAAUAGAAUCCUGAAACCGUAGGCUUACAAGCUGUGGGAGCCCUACACCUCUUUGAGGGACGGGUGACCGCGUGCCUUUUGCAUAAUGAGCCGGUGACUUACGUUGUGUGGCAGGUUAAGCGUUUAUGACGCGGAGCCUUAGCGAAAGCGAGUCUUAACAGGGCGAUAGUCGCAUGACGUAGACCCGAAACCAGGCGAUCUAUCCAUGGUCAGGGUGAAGCGCGUGUAACAACGCGUGGAGGCCCGAACCCACCAAGGCUGAAAACUUGGGGGACGAACUGUGGAUCGGAGUGAAAGGCUAAUCAAGCCUGGUGAUAGCUGGUUCUCGCCGAAAUAGCUUUAGGGCUAGCCUUGCGUAAUGAACGUCGGAGGUAGAGCACUGGUUGGACUAGCGGGACUACCAUCUUAGCAAACCCAGCCAAACUCCGAAUGCCGACGUUUUUAUCGCAGGAGUCAGUCUGCGGGGGAUAAGCUCCGUGGACGAAAGGGAAACAGCCCAGACCACCGACUAAGGUCCCUAAAUUCAGGCUAAGUGGGAAAGGAUGUAGGAUUGCUAAGACAGCCAGGAGGUUGGAAUAGAAGCCGUCACCCUUUAAAGAGUGCGUAAAAGCUCACUGGUCGAGCGAUCCUGCGCCGAAGAUGUAACGGGGCUCAAGUCUGAUACCGAAGUCGUGGAUGCUGUGCUUUAAGCAUGGCGUGGUAGGCGAGCGUUCUAUGCUGGCUGAAGGUGGACCGUGAGGGCCACUGGACGGCAUAGAAGUGAUUCUGCCGGCAUGAGUAGCGAUAAAAUAGGUUGGAAUCCUAUUCGCCGUAAGCCUAAGGUUUCUCAUGCAAGGUAAUUCCGCAUGAGGUUAGCCGGGACCUAAGUCGAGGCCGAAAGGCGUAGACGAUGGAAAGACGGUCAACAUUCCGUCGCCCGUGCGUUAGGUUGAUAGGUGCAGGACGCAGGUAUGAUCCCCUCAGAAGGGACUGGAGCCGGAGGCCGCGCUGCAUAAGCAAAGCCGCGAGGGUUUAGUGUCUGCCGAGAAAAGCCGCAUCUGGACGACCGCACGGCCCGUACCGCAAACCGACACAGGUAGGCGAGGAGAGAAUCCUCAGGCGCUCGAGAGAAUUCCCGUUAAGGAACUAGGCAAAAUUACUCCGUAACUUCGGGAGAAGGAGUACCACCUUCGGGGGGUCGCAGCGAAAUGGCCCCGGCGACUGUUUACUAAAAACACAGGUCUCUGCUAAGUCGCAAGACGAAGUAUAGGGACUGACGCCUGCCCAGUGCCGUACGGUGAAGGCAAGUGGUUAGCUCUGGCUUGCCAGAGCGAAGCUACGAACUGAAGCUCCGGUAAACGGCGGCGGUAACUAUAACCGUCCUAAGGUAGCGAAAUUCCUCGUCGGGUAAGAUCCGACCUGCACGAAUGGCGUAACGACUGGGGCACUGUCUCGACGGGAUACUCGGCGAAAUUGUAAUACCGGUGAAGAUGCCGGUUACCCGCAGCAGGACGGAAAGACCCCGUGAACCUUCACUGCAGCUUGACAUUGGGUUUUGGCAUGGCACGUAUAGCAUAGGUGGGAGGCGUUGAAACUGUCGCGUCAGCGGCGGCGGAGCCACCAGUGGAAUACCACUCUUGUAAUGUCGGAGCUCUAACCUACACCCGUGAAUCCGGGUGAGGGACCGUGUCAGGUGGGUAGUUUGACUGGGGCGGUCGCCUCCUAAAGAGUAACGGAGGCGCCCAAAGGUUCCCUCAGUACGGUUGGAAAUCGUACGUCGAGCGCAAAGGUAUAAGGGAGCUUAACUGCGAGACAGACAAGUCAAGCAGAUGGGAAACCAGGGCUUAGUGAUCUUACGGUGCCGCGUGGAAGGGCCGUGACUAAACGGAUAAAAGGUACUCCGGGGAUAACAGGCUUAUCGCGUCCGAGAGUCCGUAUCGACGACGCGGUUUGGCACCUCGAUGUCGGCUCAUCACAUCCUGGGGCCGCAGUUGGUCCCAAGGGUUGGGCUGCUCUCCCAUUAAAGUUGGUACGUGAGCUGGGUUUAGAACGGCGCAAGCCAGUUCGGUCCCUAUCCGCUGUGGGCGCAGGAGAUUUGAGAAGAGCUGUCCCUAGUAUGACAAGACCGGGAUGGACGAACCUCUAGUGUACCAGUUGUUCUGCCAGGAGCAUCGCUGGGUAGCUACGUUCGGAAGGGAUAAACGCUGAAAGCAUAUCAAGCGUGAAGCCCACUUCAAGAUAAGAUCUCCCAUCGGGUCAACCGAGUAAGACUCCUCCAAGACUAGGAGGUUGAUAGGCCGGGGGUGUAAGCGCAGCAAUGUGUUUAGCUGACCGGUACUAAUAGUCGAGGGCUUGUCCAACAUACU
rnacentral:rRNA from 1 species